rnacentral:rRNA from 1 species
CCUACGGGAGGCAGCAGUGAGGAAUAUUGGUCAAUGGACGAGAGUCUGAACCAGCCACGUAGCGUGAAGGAUGACUGCCCUCUGGGUUGUAAACUUCUUUUAUAUGGGAAUAAAAUGUUCCACGUGUGGGAUUUUGUAUGUACCAUAUCAAUAAGGAUCGGCUAACUCCGUGCCAGCAGCCGCGGUAAUACGGAGGAUCCGAGCGUUAUCCGGAUUUAGUGGGUUUAAAGGGAGCGUAGGUGGAUUGUUAAGUCAGUUGUGAAAGUUUGGGGCUCAACCGUAAAAUUGCAGUUGAAACUGGCAGUCUUGAGUACAGUAGAGGUGGGCGGAAUUCGUGGUGUAGCGGUGAAAUGCGUAGAUAUCACGAAGAACUCCGAUGGCGAAGGCAGCUCACUGGACUGUAACUGACACUGAGGCUCGAAAGUGUGGGGAGCAAACAGGAUUAGAUACCCCGGUAGUC